UUGUGGAGGAGGACGCCGAAGGUGGGGCUAAUGACUGGGGUGAAGUCGUAACAAGGUAGCCGUACCGGAAGGUGCGGCCGGAUCACCUCCUAACAGGGAGACAACAAAAUGUUAAAUAUUAAUUUUGUCACCUUAGGUCGAUCGGUAUCUCACAUUCUUAAUUUAUUAAGGAUUUUAUUUCCUAAGUUUUUUCUAGGUCACACCCAUUAUUUUCCUGGGCCAUUAGCUCAGGUGGUUAGAGCGCACCCCUGAUAAGGGUGAGGUCCCUGGUUCAAGUCCAGGAUGGCCCAUAUCUCUAUGUUGGGGGUAUAGCUCAGUUGGUAGAGCGCCUGCUUUGCAAGCAGGAUGUCAGCGGUUCGAGUCCGCUUACCUCCACUGAUUACCACCUCUUCCAUAAUUUAUAGAAGGGAAAUUUUUAGGUGUGAUCAUCUUCUGAACGAAUCUAGCUUCCUAAUCAAACUUUUUAAGAUGCUGGACUCAUUGAAUUAAUUUCAUUGUUUUCAGAGAACCUUGACAACUGCAUAGAUUAUUUUAAAGACAAUAAGCAUCUUUAAUGAUGCAGAUUUAUUAUUUGUGCGAAUGCAUUAAUAACAAUUCUAUUAAGCUGAUGCUUCAAUUUUUGAAGUUAUUGGUCAAGCUACAA
rnacentral:misc_RNA from 1 species